GGUGUUUAGAGUCUAGUGCUUGGUUUAAUCAUAUUAGUGAAGAUUAUAAAGAAGCUUUAAAAUCCCAAGACUGGUGUUCAGUGCUAGGAUUGUUUGGAGAGCAUUCGUGAGAAAUCGAUUAUCAAACACACAGAGAAAGAGACAGUUCACUCAGCAAGUUAAGAGCUGAGGGAAGGGUUGGCUAACAUUGACUUGAAGCAAGUUCCACAAUCCAGGUGUAUGAACUAACUUUCUACCUUUUAGCAAGAAAAGGUUGCCAGCAGUCAAUAUGGAAGAAAUGGCAGAAAAGGAGAGACUGAGGAAGGAAGUUGCGCAGCUCCGCAGAGAAGCGGCACUGGAAAGAAUGAAGGUAUCCCAAUGUUGUGAAGACCUGCGGGAGUACGUCCUACAAAAUGCUGCCAAUGACCCACUGCUGAAGGGGGUCCCAGAUGACAAAAACCCCUACAAGGAGAUCAAGGGAGGCUGUGUGAUUUCAUAAAGAAAUAAAAAUAAAAAUCCCUGGAAUAUCUUGAGCUUUCAUGACAACAUUCAUUUUUCAUCCUAUGUCAUAGUAUCAUUAAGCAUGUGAAUGAAUUUUAAAAUUCAUUAGUAUAAAUCUUUAAUGAAAAUUGGCAUGUGAUAAUGUUAAGUCUAUGUUUUAAUAUGUUUAUUUAGCACAGGGUCUAAUGCAUCAUUGACAAUAAUGUUGACUGACCCCUUUCUUUGACAGUAACUACUGUGAUCUAUGAAUGAGUCUGUAUUAUGUUGGUUGCCAGCAUUUAGUUACUGUUUUAUGUUUCUUCACUUCCUUUUCAACACUCAUAAUAUUCCAUCUGGAAAUUUCAUGGUUAGACUUACAUAUUUUUUCAACUUUUCUCUUGCUGACUGAAUUAGCAAGUCUAUUCUUUUGAUUCAUAAGACUGAUCUUUGCAGAAUGUGUGCUGUGAAGAUUUUGGUUGUUGAUGGUUUGUUUUCUGUUUCUCUUUAUCUUUCAACCCAAAACGAGCAGUGAUGGUUUUAACAUUAACCUCUUCCUCCAUUCUUACCAGUUCUAGUUGUCAUCAAUGAUGUGACUUUCCCCUGGAAUGCCAACUGGAUCGAGGGUUCAGUGUAUGGUCACAGGGCACAGUAGGUGUAACCAGCACCAGAAUGAGGAUGAUGAGAAGCCAGACAGCUCGGGCUCUGGCACUCGACUGCCUAACUGACUUUGGAUAAAUGACUUAAGCUGUCUGAGUCUCAGUUUCUUCUACUGUAGAAUAAGGAAAGAAAUGGUGCUAUCCCCUUUGUCCUGGGGAUUAACUGUGAUACUAGGGUGACUAUAGCACUUAGCAUUUUGCCUGGCAUAGAGUAAGACCCACUAGGUGUUAGUUUAUUACUGGGAAAGGAACUGGACUACAUGCAUAGCAUCCCCAUGAUAACUCUCACCAGUCCCAUCUAUAGAAGGCAAGACGAUAGAAAAGUAGCUAUCCGCAUCCUCCUGCUAGUCGAUUUCUUCCUAGCUUCACCUUGAGUCUGCCUACGCUAGACCUCACUACCUUUGCGCUGCUAACGCCUCUGCUUCUGUAACAAGUGGCGAGUAUUAAUAGAUAACUAGAUAACUAUUUUUGCUGCGAGUAUUUCCUUGUUGCGCUCUUACAUUUACAGUGCUAUUUUUGUAAUAGAUUAGAAAUGCUAAUUAUUCUUUUAAAAAGAUAAGAAUUAGCUAUUAUUUUUUCUGAAAGAGAUCUAUUAUUGUAUGAAUAUUUAAAAUCGCUAGAGCAAAGAUGAAUAUAUGGAAGAAAGCCUUAUAAAUGUCCUCUAUUAUUAUUAACCCUACACACUUCCUGUUGUCAACACACUUAAAUAUUAAGUAAUCCCUCACAUGACUCCCCAUCUUCCAUCUAGAGUUUAGUCCUACGAAUCCCUCCACCUGAAAUGUUCCUCCGCUCCAUCUCAUUUCAGCCAUUUGAAAUCCUAUUUCUCUUCUGACGCUUAAUAAAAAUUAUCUCCUCUGUCCUUCACUCUAUUCCAAGAGUAAUGUGUAUUGUGUAUCUCUUAAGUGAUUUUACAUUAUUGUGCUUUCUCUUCUUAUAGCUUGUAUAGCUGUUUUAAUUUCAAUAACAUAUUGUAAAUUUCCCAAGCCGGAAGUUCCAUUCAUCUGUGUAACUGCUAAAUCAACUAAUAAAGUCUCUAAAAUUUAA